GAGGGAAUGAAUACCAAAUGGAGAAAGCUGUUAUUGAUGGCAUUUGCUUUAUCCUUGAUGUGAUGAAGCAUCAUUUUCGAAUAAAGAAGAACCUAGAGGAGAUCAAUCUCUGCUGGGAUCAAGAAGCAGGAGAACCUCAGCUCUCAGACUGGUUUAAUCCCAAAAAACGUCCUGAUGUAAUAACAACAACUGACUGGCUUGCUCCAGUCAUAUGAGACGGAACUUACAGUAGACAGGUCCUGGAAAAAUAUUACAAAAGGCUGGACAUUACCAUAGGCUUGGCUGUAAUACGUGCUCCCAGAAAGUAGGUGCUACUAAUAGUCAUCCUUUUAUUUAUUUUGGAAAAAUGUGGAUGAGUACCCAUAGACUUUCUACAUUCAAAGAGCUAUUCAUAUUUAACUCUAACCAUUAUAUCUGGCUGACUAUAUAAUUAUUUUUAGUGAUUAUUUUCUUCAGCUGUGUCUGAGUCCUUAAACUAUUUGGGAAUCUUUUCAUUAGUAUCCAGUUAGCUUUCGCAACAAACUCUAUGGCUCUUCUCAGGCUCCCAAGCUCACACUACAUUCUCUUUCACUAACCAAUACCAUUAAGUUCUAGACCCAACUGCUCUACUCUUACAUGUCGAUAGUUCUUAAGCAACAAUGACAC
rnacentral:lncRNA from 1 species